rnacentral:tRNA from 1 species
GGGGAUUUAGCUCAGUGGUAGAGCACUUGCCUUGCAAGGGCAAGGCCCUGGGUUCGUUCCCCAGCUCUG